CAGUUUCCACAUGCAUCGGUGAUUUUGUGCACGUUUGCAAAGUAAUUAAGUUCUUUGUCGAAUCCAGAGAAAGUUAUCAGAGAGGCCAUUGAGGUUUUAAAGAAUUAGCUUGGUGAGGACAAGAAAGAUUGACGUAUACAGAACCCAAAUCUGAGGCCUACAAUAUCCAUACAUGUGCCUCAUGUAUUGAUUUUACGGCAAUACUCUUUGUCUGUAGAGAGAAGGAUAGAGAGAAAAGUGGAGAUGCAUGCUAA